rnacentral:rRNA from 1 species
GACGAACGCUGGCGGCGUGCUUAACACAUGCAAGUCGAACGGAAAGGCCCUGCUUUUGUGGGGUGCUCGAGUGGCGAACGGGUGAGUAACACGUGAGUAACCUGCCCUUGACUUUGAGAUAACUUCAGGAAACUGGGGCUAAUACCGGAUAGGAGCUCCUGCUGCAUGGUGGGGGUUGGAAAGUUUCGGCGGUUGGGGAUGGACUCGCGGCUUAUCAGCUUGUUGGUGGGGUAGUGGCUUACCAAGGCUUUGACGGGUAGCCGGCCUGAGAGGGUGACCGGCCACAUUGGGACUGAGAUACGGCCCAGACUCCUACGGGAGGCAGCAGUGGGGAAUAGUGCACAAUGGGCGGAAGCCUGAUGCAGCAACGCCGCGGGCGGGAUGACGGCCUUCGGGUUGUAAACCGCUUUCGCCUGUGACGAAGCGUGAGUGACGGUAAUGGGUAAAGAAGCACCGGCUAACUACGUG